UACGAAGGGGGCUAGCGUUGCUCGGAAUUACUGGGCGUAAAGGGCGCGUAGGCGGCACUGUUAGUCAGGCGUGAAAGUCCUGGGCUCAACCUGGGAACUGCGCUUGAUACGGCAGAGCUAGAGGAUGGAAGAGGGUCGCGGAAUUCCCAGUGUAGAGGUGAAAUUCGUAGAUAUGCGGAGGAACACCGGUGGCGAAGGCGGCCAUCUGGACGAGCACUGACGCUGAGACGCGAAAGCGUGGGGAGCAAACAGG
rnacentral:rRNA from 1 species